UACAGAGGUCUCAAGCGUUGUCCGGAAUCAUUGGGCGUAAAGCGCGUGUAGGCGGUCCGGUAAGUCCGCUGUGAAAGUCGGGGGCUCAACCCUCGAAUGCCGGUGGAUACUGUCGGGCUAGAGUGCGGAAGAGGCGAGUGGAAUUCCUGGUGUAGCGGUGAAAUGCGCAGAUAAUCAGGAGGAACACCGAUUGCGAAGGCAGCUCGCUGGGACGUAACUGACGCUGAGAACGCGAAAGCGUGGGGAGCAAACAGG
rnacentral:rRNA from 1 species